rnacentral:RNase_P_RNA from 1 species
UGAGUUCGUCAGACAGUCGCUGCCUGAAUCGUCCAAUCUGCUGCGCAAGUGGUGGUUGUGGCCUCAGGGAGAGGAAAGUCCGGGCUCCACAGGGUAGAGUGCCAGGUAACUCCUGGGAGGCGAGAGCCUACGGAAAGUGCAGCAGAGAGUAAACCGCCUAAGCUUCAGCUUGCUGAGGCCGGUAAGGGUGAAAUGGUGCGGUAAGAGCGCACCGCGCGUCUGGCAACAGUACGUGGCGAUGGUAAACCCCGCUCGGAGCAAGACCAAAUAGGGAUCCUAUGGCGUGACCCGCGCUGGAUCCGGGUAGGUUGCUUGAGAUGUACGGUGACGUGCAUCCUAGAUGAAUGACUGUCCAAGACAGAACCCGGCUUAUCGACGAACUCAUUUU